UUCUCAGGGCUUGUCUACAUCAGAAAGUUGCAGCGCUGGUGAGGGAGUUACAGCGCUGCAACUUUGAAGGUGUACACAUCUGCAGGGCACCACCAGCGCUGCAACUCCCUGUUUGCAGCGCUGGCCGUACUCCCGUUUUGUCUCGGGUGUAGAGGAUCCAGCGCUGGUGAUCCAGCGCUGGUAAUCCAAUGUAGACACUUACCAGCGCUUUUCUUGACCUCCGUGGAAGGAGGAAGCCUCUGGUAAUCAAGCGGGUCUCCUUUCCCGGUUUGCUCUCUCGUUCCCGGAGCCCAGAGCAAGCAGGUCUCCUUCCCUGCGGUUUGCUGGGUGGCUCCAGGAACGCGAGAGCAAACCGCGGCGAAGCGGGUCUCCUUUCCCGGUUUGCUCUCUCGUUCCCGGAGCCCCGAGCAAGCAGGUCUCCUUCCCUGCGGUUUGCUGGGUGGCUCCGGGAACGCGAGAGCAAACCGCGGCGAAGCGGGUCUCCUUUCCCGGUUUGCUCUCUCGUUCCCGGAGCCCCGAGCAAGCAGGUCUCCUUCCCUGCGGUUUGCUGGGUGGCUCCGGGAACGCGAGAGCAAACCGCGGCGAAGCGGGUCUCCUUUCCCGGUUUGCUCUCUCGUUCCCGGAGCCCCGAGCAAGCAGGUCUCCUUCCCUGCGGUUUGCUGGGUGGCUCCGGGAACGCGAGAGCAAACCGCGGCGAAGCGGGUCUCCUUUCCCGGUUUGCUCUCGCGUUCCCGGAACCCCCCUUGAAGCCGCCCAACAGCGCUGCAGUGUGGCCACAUCUAACACCACUUGCAGCGCUGGUUGCUGUAAGUGUGGCCACUCUGCAGCGCUGGCCCUAUACAGCUGUACUAAUACAGCUGUAACAACCAGCGCUGCAAAACUUUAGAUGUAGACAUGGCCUC